GACGAACGCUGGCGGCGUGCUUAACACAUGCAAGUCGAACGGAAAGGCCCUGCUUUUGUGGGGUGCUCGAGUGGCGAACGGGUGAGUAACACGUGAGUAACCUGCCCUUGACUUUGGGAUAACUUCAGGAAACUGGGGCUAAUACCGGAUAGGAGCUCCUGCUGCAUGGUGGGGGUUGGAAAGUUUCGGCGGUUGGGGAUGGACUCGCGGCUUAUCAGCUUGUUGGUGGGGUAGUGGCUUACCAAGGCUUUGACGGGUAGCCGGCCUGAGAGGGUAACCGGCCACAUUGGGACUGAGAUACGGCCCAGACUCCUACGGGAGGCAGCAGUGGGGAAUAUUGCAGAGUGGGCGGAAGCCAGAUGCGACAACGCCGCGUGCGGGAUGACGGCCUUCGGGUUGUAAACCGCUUUCGCCUGUGACGAAGCGUGCGUGACGGUAAUGGGUAAAGAAGCACCGGCUAACUACGUG
rnacentral:rRNA from 1 species